rnacentral:sRNA from 12 species
UCCUGACAGUUGCAUGGGGCAACUGACUAACCCAAGACAGGAGAUUGACAUG